rnacentral:rRNA from 1 species
UACGGAGGGGGCUAGCGUUGUUCGGAAUUACUGGGCGUAAAGCGCACGUAGGCGGCUUUGCAAGUUAGAGGUGAAAGCCUUCAGCUUAACUGAAGAACUGCCAUUGAAACUGUAAGUCUCGAGUUUGGUUGAGGUCAUUGGAAUGUAACAUGUAGCGGUGAAAUGCAUAGAUAUGCGGAGGAACACCGAUGGCGAAGGCAAUCCCCUGGGCCUGCACUGACGCUCAUGCACGAAAGCGUGGGGAGCAAACAGG